AUACCUUUCUCGGCCUUUUGGCUAAGAUCAAGUGUAGUAUCUGUUCUUAUCAGUUUAAUAUCUGAUAUGUGGGCCAUUGGUUCACAUGAUAUUAAAUUUAUUUUUUACGGGAAAGGGUUAUAUGCAGUAGCUUGCUACUGUGGCACUUGAGCAUCUCCUUUAUUUUGCACUUUUGCAAAGGAUUGGUGCAUCCCUC